rnacentral:misc_RNA from 1 species
GAUGAAGAACGUAGCAAAAUGCGAUAAGUAAUGUGAAUUGCAGAAUUCAGUGAAUCAUCGAAUCUUUGAACGCACAUUGCGCCCGCCAGUAUUCUGGCGGGCAUGCCUGUUCGAGCGUCAUUUCAACCCUCAAGCACGGCUUGUGUGUUGGGCCUCCGUCCUCCUCCCGGGGGACGGGCCCGAAAGGCAGCGGCGGCACCGCGUCCGGUCCUCGAGCGUAUGGGGCUUCGUCACCCGCUCUUGUAGGCCCGGCCGGCGCUUGCCGACACAUCAAUCUUUUUUCCAGGUUGACCUCGGAUCAGGUAGGGAUACCCGCUGAACUUAAGCAUAUCAAUAAGCGGAGGA